rnacentral:lncRNA from 1 species
UCUAAAAGAAUUUGGUAGGAUUCGUAAUAUUUCUUCCUUAGGUGUUUGAAAGAAUUCACUAGGGAAACCAUCUGGACCUCGAGUUCUCUUUGUGGGGAAUUAUUCUGAGAAAGUUUAAGGUCUUUGAUAGAUAUAAACCUAUUUAGAUGUUUUAUUUCCUCUUAUGUCAUUUUCUAUAAGUUAUACUUUUUAAGGAAUUUGUCCAUUUCAAUUUGUCCUUUAUUGAUAAAUUGUCAAUAAAUUUGUUAAAUUUAUUGGCAUACAGGUGUUUAUAAUACCUCUUUAUUAUACUUUUAAUGCCUGUAGGAUCUAUAAUGAUCUCUUCUCUUUCAUUAUUGAUAUUAUUAAUUUAUGUUUUCUCUUUUUCUGAGGUGUUAUAGCCAGGGAUUUAUUAAUUCUAUUAAUAUUUUCAAAGGCCUACCUAGUUGGGUAUUAUCAUGUUCUCCAUUGUUUUUGUCCCCUCCUGUUUCACUUAUUUCUGCUCCUACCUCUACCGUUUAAUUUCUUUCAGUUACUGUGGGUUUCACGUGCUCAUUUUUUCUCUAGUUUCUUAAAGUAGGAAAUUAGAUCAUUGAUUUAAAUCACUUCCUUUCUAAAAUAAACAUUUUGGAGUUAUAAAUUUCCUUCUAAGCACAGCUUCAACUACAUUCCAUGAAAUUUUAUAUGUAGUAUUUUCAUUUUCAUUCAGCUUGAGUUAUUUCUCUUUUCCACUGUGAUUUCUUCAUUGGCAUUUCCGUUUUUUUAAGUUCAUCAUUUAACAUAAAUAUUUGUUGUUUUUCUUGAGCUCUUAUUCUUAUUGAUUUCAAAUGCAAUUCCAUUGUGGCCAUUAGACAGAUUCUGUAAUAUUUCAAUCUUUGAAAUUGAUUAAGUGUUGUUUUAUGGCUCAGCAUGUGAAUUACUGUGAUAAGCAUUCCAUAUAUGCCUGAAAAAAAACAUGGAUUUUGCAGUGUUGAAUGGAGUUUCCAUAAAUGUCGAUUAAGUAAUUUAGAUCCUAUAACUUAGAUUUAUAAUUUAAAUAUAUAGAUUUAUAAAUGUAUCGAUUUAUAAUCAUCAUUUAUUAUUUGGAUCCUAUAUCUUUACUGACUUUUUGUCUCAUUUUUAUAAAUUAUUGAAAACAGAAUUUUACUAUGAAACUGCAUUUCUCUCUCUUAUUUUUCUGGUGCUUGUAUUUUGAAUCUCUCUUACUAAGUAUACAAAAACUUGUAUCUUGCUGAUGUAGCUUCUUAUUAUCAUAAAAUGCCCUUCUUUACUUUUGGGAAUAUGCUUUGUCUUAAAGUCUAUUUUGUCUAGUUAUACUAUAACUACUCCAAUUUUUAAUAACUACUGUUUCCAUACACACACACAAAAUUAAAUAUAUAUAAAUCUAAAGUGUAUUUCUUAAGACAACAUUUGUUUGACCUUACUUUUUUAUCAAGUCCAACAACCUACACCUUUUCAUUGGUGUUUUAGUCAUUUAUAUUUCUAUCAAGUAUCAAUAUGGUUUAAUUUAGGUCUAUCAUUUUACUAGUUAUUUUCUAUUUGUCUUGCCUGUUUUUGGUUUCUCAGUUUUCCCUUUCUUGCCUUCUUAUAGGUUAACCACGGUUUUUUUGGCAUUCUAUUUUAAUCCCUGUAUAGGCUUUUUAACUAUAUUCUUUACAUUUUUUUAGUGAUUGCUCUAGAGAUUACAAUGUAUAUCUAUAGUUUAUUACAGAGAUUUAUUUAUAUUUAUUAUAUCACUUCUUGUAAAAUAUAGGGAUCUUACAAUAUUGUAGUUUCAUCCCCCCAUGUACUAUCGCUUUCAUAUAUACUACAUCUGCAUUCAUGACAGAAUAGUUUUAUAAUUUGUAUUUUUAAAAAUUAUUCUGUCUUCUUUAAAAAUUAAGAGAAGAAAAAUAUCAAUAGAGCAUUUACCCACCUAUUUACCAUUUCCAGUGACAUUCACUAAAUCUUCUAAAUCCAAUUACCACCUGUUAUUUCUCUUUAAUCUAAAGCACUUCCUUUAGUAUUUAUUAGUGUGAGUAUGCUGCACAUGAAAUUUCCUAGUGCUUGUUUAUCCAAAAUGUUUUUCACAUUGAUUGUAAAAAUUGUAUGAAUAUGCUUUAUUUAACUCAAUACAUCUAAAAUAUCAUUUUAGAUAUUAACAUGCACUCAGUGUAAUAAGAUUAUUACUGGUAUACUUUCUUUACCUUAUUUUUAUUUAUGCCAAGUCUUUGAAAUUUGCUGUGUAUUUUAUGCUUACAUCUCAAUAGCUCGAUACUUUACAUCUCAAUAUUUAAGUGCUCAAUAGUUUUCACCACUGGCCACUGAACUAGACAGCCCGAUCCUGAAAUAUCUCUUUGCCUUCAAUGUUGAAGACUAGCUUCAUGGAUGUAGAAUUCUAGGAUGAUAUUUUUUAAAGAUUUAUUUUUGUUUGUUUGAGAGAGAGAGAAUAUGAGCAGGGUGAGGGGCAAAGUGAGAGGGAGAGAGAAUCUCAAGCAAACUCAGAACUAAGUGUGGAGCCCAACAUGGGACUCAAUCUCAUGACCCUGAGAUCAUGAUCUGAGCCAAAACCAAGAGUUGUACUCUUAACUGAGCCACCAAGCACCCUCAUAACAGUUUUUAUUGCAUCACUUUAAAAAUGUCGUUCCAGGGAUCCCUGGGUGGCUCAGUGGUUUCACACCUGCCUUUGGCCCAGGGUGCAAUCCUGGGGUCCCGGGAUCGAGUCCUGCAUCAGGCUCCUGGCAUGGAGCCUGCUUCUCCCUCUGCCUGUGUCUCUGCCUCUCUCUCUCUCUCUCUCUCUCUAUGUCUAUCAUAAAUAAAUAAAAAUAAAUCUUUAAAAAAAAUGUCAUUCCACUAUCUUCUGGUCUCUAUCAUUUCUGGUAAGAGAAAUUUACUGCUGUAAAUAAAGUGUAUGAUCCUUGCCUUUGUGUAACAUGCCAUUUUUCUCUAAUUACUUUUUAAUAUUUUAUAUUUAUAUUUCAGUAACUUAACUACCAUAUGCCCACAUGUGAGGGUUUUUCCCACACACACACAUGCUCAGGAUUCUUUGAGAUUGUUGGAUUUGUAACUUGAUGUCUUUAAUCCAAUUUGGGACAUUAUUAACCAUGAUUUCUUCAAAUAUAUUUUUCUGUUCCAUUAUCUUUCUCAUCUCUUUUUGGAACUCUAAUCACCAUAUAUUAGAUGACUCAAUGUUUCUCCACAGGUUUUGGAGGCUCUGCUGAUUUUCCUCAAUGCUCUUUUAUUUUUCAGAAUUGAUCAUUUCUAUUGAUUUAUUGUCACAUUCACUGAUUCUUCUGCUAUCUAUAUUCCUUUUUAAGUCAAUUCUGUGAAUUUUCAAUUUCUCUUAUUGAAUAUUCAAUAAUCUAUAUUUAUAGUUCUUUGCCAGAGUUGCCACCUAUUCAUUUAUUAUGCAUUUGUUUUUCAUCAGAUUCUAGUACACACUUUAUUGGUGCUUUAAAGUAUUUGUCUGCUCAUUGCAAUAUCUCAUUCAUUCAGAAUUGGUUAUUUGCUGCUGCUUCUUUUUUCUGGAUUAUGAGUCACAUUUUCUUGUUUCUCCAUGUAUCUAGUUUUUUGAAUUAUUAUUAAAUUCAAGUCACUCUGAAUAAAACAUUGUAGUCUCUGGAUUCCUUAUGUUGCUCUGGACAAUAAUUUUUAUUUUAGAAAGCAGUUAAUUAGCUCAAACUCCAUGCUCUGCAGCAGACAACAGCUAACAUCUUUGUUUAAGUACAUGAUGCCUUUUACCAGGUGUUCUGGGAUCUCCCACACACAACCAUAUUUAGCAGUUAGCCUAUCAUUUAGGUGGAUUUUAUUUAUUAAUUUUUUUUUAAGAUUUUGUUUCCUUAUUCGUGAGAGACACAGAGAGAGAGGCAGAGGGAAAAGUAGGCUCCCUGAAAGGAGCUAGAUUUGGGACUCAAUCCCGGGACUUCAGGAUCACGCCCUGGGCCGAAGGCAGGCACUCAACUGCUGAGCCACCCGGGUGUCCCUAUUUGGGUGGAUUUUAAAUGUAGAUUUGGGGCACUCUCUCUUUCAGGAUUUUCCCUCUAAUUUUCUAGAUGAUCUGACAGCUCCAAAUUCUCUCUCCUAACAUCUCAGCCCAGAAACACUACAAGGUUUCUCCUGUAUAAAGCCACAGAUUAUAGGGUACCAGACUCUGAAGCCAAGCCAAGUAGAGCAGUAUAUUGAAAAGGAUCGGAGAACUCAUCUAAACUUGCCACUCCCCUCCCCAAAAAGGUAACCACAACCAUCUUCCACAGACAAUACUUUGAAGCUAAUGUUGAUUGCAUCCCCUAAAAUUCAUUUGGGGGAAAAAACUGAUAAACUGAGAAUCUUCAAAUAAUCUAUUUCCAAAACAAAAUGUCCUUCUUUCCCCCUUCCCUUACCUGGUGCAGAACAAAUCAACCUUUUUUACUGUACUAUUCUGUUAACAAUAUUGUAACCUGGCUUGAUUUUAUUAGAGCCUAAACCUGGGAAAGAGUCAACCAUGUUUACUAGCCCAGCUAAUCAUGACAAUGUGUCCAAGCUUUAUGAAUAUUUGUCUUUCUUUUCUUCCAUGUAGGGAAAUAUAAAUUUAAAAUGAGAGUAAAGUAUUUAAUAUUUAAUCCUGAGAUUUAAAAGGAAGCUAGCUAUCAUUGCUGUUUCUUGAUGAAAAUAAUAUGGUAAGAAUUUUUUUAAAUAUAGAAGAAAAACACUCACAAUGAAAUACCACUAUACUUCACCAGCUUGACAAUAAAAGUGUCAGUGAGAUGUGGAAUAUUUGUGAUUUUCAUCAUUUCAGGCUACAGAAAAUGGGACUGAUGGGUCAGGCUGUCCCGUUUCUCACACUAACCUAGAAGUGCUAGAGACACGAAGGCAGGAGGUGCACUGAGAAGUUGGUGGAUGUGAAAAUUGCCACAGUGUUUAGGAGAAUAUUUUGACAUCCACUGGCAAUGAUAAAAUUUACGAACAUCCCACAUCUCCCCAACACUUAACACUGUCAAUCUUGUCAACCUGUAAUGUUGAAGGCAGACAUACUCUUCAAUCCAACCAUGUCACUCCUCAUUUGUUCUCCAAAUAAUCUCAUGCAUAUGUACAGCAAGACCCAUGGGAAGAACUUUUUUUGCAGUGUUUUUGUGCAAUAGCCAAAACUUGAAAACAGCACAGAGUGAUCAAUGGAAGAGUGAAUAAGUACGUUUUGAUUAUGUUCCUACAAGGGAAAACUAUACAUACAUAAAAUGGAGCCAUAUAAACUGAAAAACAAACUGUAGUGACAUGCAACAGUAUGGAUGAACUUCACAACCAUAAUGUUAGGCCAGAAGCAAGGCACAAAAGAAUAGAGACUACAUGAUUUAUUAAAAUAAAGUCCCACAAACAUUAUAUGUUCUCAUUCAUUUGGGGAAUAUAAAUAAUAGUGAAAGGGAAUAUAAGGGAAGGGAGAAGAAAUGUGUGGGAAAUAUCAGAAAGGGAGACAGAACGUAAAGACUGCUAACUCUGGGAAACGAACUAGGGGUGUUGGAAGGGGAGGAGGGCGGGGGGUGGGAGUGAAUGGGUGACGGGCACUGGGGGUUAUUCUGUAUGUUAGUAAAUUGAACACCAAUAAAAAAAAUGCAAAUAUAAAAUAAAUAAAUAAAUAAAAUAUAAAAAUUAUUUCCCCCCCCCAAAAAAAAAUAAAAUAAAAUAAAAUAAAAUAAAGUCCCAAAUAGACCUUUCUAUACUAUAUGGUUUAGGGAUGCACAUAUAGGUGGCAAAACAAUAAAGAAAAGCAUGAAAAUAAUUACUACAUGUCAAAGAAAUCGGGGAGGAGAAGGAAGCAAUAUGAUAAGGGUGGUAGAUCCACAUAUUUUUGCUUAUAGUGAUUGAAUAAUCUUCCUUUACACCUAGUACACUUUUUCAUAUAUAUCGCUUAUUUCACAAUAGUAUCUUUAAAAUAUAAUAAAAUUAAGGAAUAUUAAUGGCCUGAAGGCCACUAAAUAUCUUAUACUUUAGCACUUUCAGGACUUUAAGAAAGCUUUGAAAUACACCUACUUGGCACCAUCACUACCCUCUACCAGCACCACAGUGUUUUUCUGAUUGUUUAAAAAUUCUAAAUAAGUCCCUAUUACAUACAUUUACAUGUUAGAAUGUUUUAUCCAAAUGCAUGUCAUAAAUAAUUGAUGAGAACCAGUGAAGGUAGCUAUAGAAAGUCUUUAAAAUACUAAGGAUUUCUCCUCCUCCUCCUCCUCCUCCUCUUCUCCCUCUUCUCCUCCUCCUCCUCACCUUUAUUGGCUUGGCAUUAAUAUAAAUUAUCUCAAAGUCCAUUGUAUUUUCAGAGCAGGUUCAGAGGGAAGACAUUCCCACUUUUUCUCAUGCCAACCAUUGGGCCCUCUACUGCAGGUUGAGACAACACCUCCUGCUGUGGGGGAGACUACCACCCCGGGGUCUUUGGUAGCUGUGUACUCAGGGCAUACCCCAGCUGGCCCAAGUUUCAAAUUUCCUCAGACUCUGGGAUUUCAAAGAUCCAUCCCAUUAUGCUUCACACCCACCUGAAUGAUAAUUUCUGAUGAGAAGUUCCCACAGGACUCAGACUCUGGGCUCCCGCACCCCGAUCUCAUGCUCCAGUCCUUCCACCCUGUUCUCCCAACCUUGCUCCAGGACUCUGCAAUCAUGCCUGCCAACAGCAAGUUUCCCACCUCCCCACACAUUCUGCUUCUGCUCCAACCACAGCUGGUUGUGGUCUCAGGACAUCUGUUCUCACAACCCACCCCUCACCUGACUCCAUGCUUCACAGCCACUUCCUUGCCUCCCCUUCUUCUGUAAAAAAAAAAAAAACAAAAGAUUUCUUCAAGGACACAAGAUCAAACUCUGUCAUCCUUUCCUAUUCUGUAGCUCUCCCUCAUUCAUGGCCAACCCUAUCAUCUCGCUCCUCCCUGUCUUCUCCAACACCAGUUUGGACAGGGGUUCUCCAUAGCGGCACUUAUUGGCACUUGUGGACAAAUAAUUUGCAUAGGGCUGUUGUGUGCAUCGUAGGAUGUGUGGCACCAUCCUUGGAUUCUGCCCACUAGAUACCAAGAGCCCUUCUAGCUGGGACAAUCAAAAAUCUUUCCAGGGAUCCAUGGGUGGCGCAGCGGUUUGGCGCCUGCCUUUGGCCCAGGGCGCGAUACUGGAGACUCGGGAUCGAGUCCCACGUCGGGCUCCCGGUGCAUGGAGCCUGCUUCUCCCUCUGCCGGUGUCUCUGCCUCUCUCUCUCUCUCUCUGUGUGACUAUCAUAAAUAAAUAAAAAAUUUUUUUAAAAAAUCUUUCCAGAUGGUACCAGAGGCCACCUGAGGGAUGACACGUCCCAUAAAGAAUCACUGCUUUAAAUGAUCCAUCUCCUAUCUGAACUUUUAAUGCCUUGACCCUCUUAACUCAAACAGUCACACCCUCCACCAACAUUAGACGCCUCUCACAGGGUAGGCAUUAGAGCAUACCACCUCCCCAGCCUCAGUCUGGAACAUGCCGCACUGCCCGCCUCAUCCUUGCUUCUGGUGCCCUGCCCAGACCCGGCCGAGUCUCUGCAUUGCACUCUCACCACCACCCUGUAUCCUCAGUCCCUCCUCCUCCAGCGUUGACUCUGAGAUUUCACUACCACUGUUACUCACACCCCUUGCUCUCCUCUCUGGAUUCAUUAAUUCCAAUUUUGCUUACCUGGAAAAUCCCUAACUCUUGUCAAGCCCAACUAUCUGCUUGUGUGGUACCUGCAUCUGAGCAGCUGAAAGUCGUUAAAGCACAUUCCUCAAUCUGCUGUCAAGCAUGUGGCCAGUGGUCUCACAGGAACACUCAUGACACUGGAAAGUGCUGCUCAGCUCCCUAGGAAACCCACACAUCACUGACAGCCACUCCCUGCCUCCUCCUCUCUUUCAACCUUCCAGGUACCACUUCCUCCAAAAUAAGUGGUCCAUAAACCAUCCUGCAUCCCUCCUAUCUGCCAACCCCCCCCCAAUCUACCUGCAUCCAUCCCCAUGUCCCCUGUCUCUUCUGCUUCACAAACAGGGUCUAAGACCAACCCUCAACAUGUACCCACCCGCUCACACCCUACAAUCACAUUUCCCUCUCCCAUGGUGCAGGGUGUCUCUUUUCUACCAGAUAAUUCCCCUUAUCAGAUGAAUGUUCCUUGGUAACACUCAACUUAGAAACAAACAAACAAAACACAACCCGAGUCCCUUCUGCACUGCACGCUUCUCAGUGCUGUCCGCAGACUGCCUACUGGCUGUGCACAACCUGCUGACCUUCCCAGCCUCUUGGCUCCAGCCCACUGG